GAGAGUUUGAUUCUGGCUCAGGACGAACGCUGGCGGCGUGCCUAACACAUGCAAGUCGAGCGAAGUUUUUAAAGCGGAUCCCUUCGGGGUGAAACUUUAAUUAUCUUAGCGGCGGACGGGUGAGUAACGCGUGAGAAACCUGCCUUUCACAAAGGGAUAGCCUCGGGAAACUGGGAUUAAUACCUUAUGAUACAUCUACUUCACAUGAAGAAGAUGUUAAAGCGUAAAGCGGUGAAAGAUGGUCUCGCGUCCCAUUAGCUAGUUGGUGAGGUAAUAGCUCACCAAGGCGACAAUGGGUAGCCGGCCUGAGAGGGUGAACGGCCACACUGGGAACUGAAGACACGGUCCAGACUCCUACGGGAGGCAGCAGUGGGGAAUAUUGCACAAUGGAGGAAACUCUGAUGCAGCGACGCCGCGUGAACGAUGAAGGCUUUCGGGUCGUAAAGUUCUGUCCUAGGGGACGAUAAUGACGGUACCCUAGGAGAAGCCCGGCUAACUACG
rnacentral:rRNA from 1 species